AGCAUGAAAUGAAUGGGGUCUAAACGACAACCCAUAGGCGCGUUUCGUUGACUACACCUUUAGGUCAUCAUUAACGGGGGAACACAUGGUGUGUUCUAAUCCCAAAAAAAUCAAUAAAAAAGUGAAUAAUGGGCUUAGAUCUAAUCCCAAAAGGAGAUUACUUAUGUGUCCUGGCUUCACGUCAUUGGUCGAGAUGUUUUGGAAAGAAAGAAAAAUUUUCAUUUCUUCCCUUCGCCGUCGAAGGUCAGUUUUCCGGCAAUUGAAAAUCUCACAAAUUCAAGCUGAGCUUUUGUCGAAAUCUUCUUAAGUAAUCUCCUCCAGUGUCUUUGUAUCUUCUUCCAAUCGUCGAAGCCUUGUCCUGUAAUUGAUUCGCUGGUUGAGCUCAUCAUACUCUUCCAUGUCUGUUUGAUCUACCCAAAGUUUGAAGUUAUUGCUUUGGUUUGUGCAA